rfam:Oryza sativa Japonica Group DNA, chromosome 4, cultivar: Nipponbare, complete sequence.
AAAAAGCAAAUCCUAGGGUUGCGUGUCCAACUUUGACUGUCCGUCUUAUAUAAAAAUUUUUUAUAAUUCGUAUUUUCAUUACUGUUAGAUGAUAAAACAUGAUUAAUAUUUUAUGCGUAACUUGUCUUUUUAAUUUUUUUCAUAAUUUUUUCAAAUAAGACGAACGGCCAAACAUUGAACACGAAAAUUAGGGUUUAUCUUUUU